rnacentral:tRNA from 1 species
UGAUGUAGCUCAGCGGUAGAGCAGCUGAUUCGUAAUCAGCAGGUCGCGGGUUCAAAUCCCGCCAUCA